CUACUUGAGUCUCAGCAUCUAAUUCUGAUGGCAUCUCAUCUUGAUCAUGAGCUACUGAGUUUUCUCAAGGUUGUGUUUGUGCUUCAGCCAGUCCAUUUCCAUUGCCCCCUUCAGGAUCAGGAUGAGUGACUUCUUCAGCUGCUUGUUCAGUCGCUUGAGCAUGAGGCACUUCUCUGACGGUCUCCUUUCCUUUUGACAGACUGAUUCCCAGAUUCUCCAUAAUAAUUCUCAGAUUAUUGGCCUUGUCUGUUGCUUGAGACAGAUCUUUAAGAGCAUCCCAAUUCUUCUCAGCAUAAAACCCUUUUCCUUCCAUAAACUUCACAUCUCUAAAUACAAGUACUCUCCUUGUUUCAGUAUUGUAGCACUUAUAUCCUUUCUGUGUAGGUGAGUACCCAAUG
rnacentral:lncRNA from 1 species